rnacentral:rRNA from 1 species
GACGAACGCUGGCGGCGUGCUUAACACAUGCAAGUCGAACGGAAAGGCCCUGCUUUUGUGGGGUGCUCGAGUGGCGAACGGGUGAGUAACACGUGAGUAACCUGCCCUUGACUUUGGGAUAACUUCAGGAAACUGGGGCUAAUACCGGAUAGGAGCUCCUGCUGCAUGGUGGGGGUUGGAAAGUUUCGGCGGUUGGGGAUGGACUCGCGGCUUAUCAGCUUGUUGGUGGGGUAGUGGCUUACCAAGGCUUUGACGGGUAGCCGGCCUGAGAGGGUGACCGGCCACUUUGGGACGAGGAUACGGCCAGACUCCUACGGGAGGCAGCAGUGGGGAAUAUUGCACAAUGGGCGGAAGCCUGAUGCAGCAACGCCGCGUGCGGGAUGACGGCCUUCGGGUUGUAAACCGCUUUCGCCUGUGACGAAGCGUGAGUGACGGUAAUGGGUAAAGAAGCACCGGCUAACUACGUG